rnacentral:rRNA from 1 species
CCUACGGGGGGCAGCAGUAGGGAAUAUUGCUCAAUGGGGGAAACCCUGAAGCAGCAACGCCGCGUGAAGGAUGAAGGUUUUCGUAUUGUAAACUCCUUUUGUUAGGGAAGAUAAUGACGGUAUCUAACGAAUAAGCACCGGCUAACUCCGUGCCAGCAGCCGCGGUAAUACGGAGGGUGCAAGCGUUACCCGGAUUCACUGGGCGUAAAGAGCGCGUAGGCGGGAGAGCAAGUCAGAUGUGAAAGCCUAUGGCUUAACCAUAGAACUGCACUUGAAACUGUUCUGCUAGAGUAUGGGAGAGGUAGGUGGAAUUCUUGGUGUAGGGGUAAAAUGCGUAGAGAUCAAGAGGAAUACUCAUGGCGAAGGCGACCUGCUAGACCAUAACUGACGCUGAGGCGCGAAAGCGUGGGGAGCAAACAGGAUUAGAUACCCCAGUAGUC